rnacentral:rRNA from 1 species
GACGCACGCUGGCGGCGUGCCUAAUACAUGCAAGUAGAACGCAGUUGCGAACGGGUGAGGAACGCGUAGGUAACUGCCUCAUAGAGCGGGAUAACUAUUGGAAACGAUAGCUAAUACCGCAUACUGUGAGAUGGUCCUGCGUGUUAUUAGCUCGUUGGUGAGGUAAAGGCUCACCAAGGCGACGAUACAUAGCCGACCUGAGAGGGGGAUUGGCCACACUGGGACUGAGACACGGCCCAGACUCCUGCGGGAUGCAGCAGUAAGGAAUCUUCGGCAAUGGAAGGAAGUCUGACCCGGCAACGCCGCGUGAGUGAAGAAGGUUUUCGGAUCGUAAAGCUCUGUUGUUAGAGAAGCGGUACCUAACCAGAAAGGGACGGCUAACUACGUGCCAGCAGCCGCGGUAAUAG